rnacentral:rRNA from 17 species
UUGACCUCAAAUCAGGUAGGACUACCCGC